rnacentral:rRNA from 1 species
GAUGAACGCUAGCGGCAGGCUUAACACAUGCAAGUCGAGGGGCAGCGGGGGGCGCGCUUGCGCGUCCCGCCGGCGACCGGCGCACGGGUGAGUAACACGUAUGCAACCUGCCCCCGCCAGGGGUACAACCCUCCGAAAGGGGGGCUGAUACCGCGUACAUCCCUUGGGGGCAUCCCCGGGGGAGGAAAGCCCUUCGGGGCGGGCGGGGAUGGGCAUGCGGCGCAUUAGGAAGACGGCGGUGUGACGGACCACCGUUCCGACGAUGCGUAGGGGUUCUGAGAGGAAGGCCCCCCACACUGGUACUGAGACACGGACCAG